rnacentral:lncRNA from 1 species
CAAAAGAAAUAAUAAGAAAUCUUGAAGGAAUUGAAAGAAAAUCCACAAUAAAUCUUAAAAGUAUCCUUAAGAAAUCCUAAAAAAUAUAAGAAUAAUCACAAAUAUAUCUCAAAUAAAUUUCAAUCAAGUUUUAAUUUAAUCCUAAUUGAAAUCCUAAAAGACUUCAAUAAAACCUUGGACAAAUUCUAAACUCUAAACCAAAUCCUAAACAAAUUCUAAACCCUAAAUUAAAUCCUAAAUAAAUCCUAAAUACUAGACCAAAUCCUAAAAAAAUCCUAAAAAAAUCCUAAAUCCUAUACCAAAUCCUAAAAAAAUCCUAAAUCCUAAAUCAAACCCUAAACCAAAUCCUAAGCAAAUCCUAAUCAAUUCAAUUUAUCUCUAGUAUUGUUUAGCACCUCAAUAUCUACCAAUUGAACCAUUGAUCUUGCUUAAAAAUUUACAAACUUUUUAACAAUUAAGUUAGCAAUAAGCACAUAAAUUUUAAAAAUAAUUGCUCUUAUCAAAUAGAAGAAAAAUCCUAAAAUUUUCUUGGGUAUUGGCCUACCUCCUAGUCUAAUCUAAAUGUUGAAUUUUUAGUGCCAAUAUCUCCUUUUUAAACUAUUCAAUUAUUCUCAAAUUUCACAUAUGUGUAGAAAAUUAAGUCUAUUAUCCUUACACGCAAAUUUUAUCUCAAUCCAAGUAGUAAAUUUAUAAAAAUCUUAGAAAUCCUAACUACCU